GAAUGAAUGAACUGUUAAGGCAAACAAAGAAUCCAUUGCCUUCAGAAGUGAUAUACAACUUUGCUUUACUCAAACCUCUGCUGAAGUCAAAUAUUUUGAACCUGUUCUCUUGAGGUUUGACUUAUCGAGAUUUCAUUGUAAUUUCUUACAAAUGACAAUUUCUUACAUUCUUUGAUUUUGUACUGAUCAAUGCCUACCUCUGCUCAUGCAUCAGUGAGUUCCAUUGUUUGAAAAUGGUAUUUAUGAACUUUCUGUACAGUUUUGGUAUUUGUGAACAUGUAAAAUUAAAGACAAGUAGCUUCAAUGAUUAUUUUAAGAAAAAUGAACAAAACAGGAUUUCCAUUGUGAUCUUGUGUCGCAUUGCAAGUUGCAUAUCAAACAUCAAGGACAUGGUUCAUGCAUCUUCGAACAUCGUUGGCAAGACAGUGCAGCAGCCGAUACUCAAUGCUGUCAGGAGUCGCUUUCAGGAACUUUCGGGGACACAGCAUAAAUAUGCUAAAUUGAGCUCCCGGAUUGCUGAAUUUGACUCCCUGUGAUGCGUGUGCAUGUAGAUGCAAGGUGUUCACUCCUGAAUGACUCAGAUUACCAAUUCUGUUUUGUGAAAUGUUUUUAUUAAAUUGCAUUUCCCUUUGAAUCUACUUGUCUGGCUGUGUUCACAAUGUUCUACAAAAAUUUCCCAAGAAGGUUUGUAUGUAGCAUUUUCAAAACGAUUGGAACUCAGUGAUGCAUAAUGAGCAGGGGGUAUGCCUCAGUACAAAAUCAGAGAAUGUAGGAAAUGUCAAUUUUAUUUGUAGGCAAAGCUACCGGUAGGCUACGCCAACCCAUGCAGAUCCAUCAAUACCCCUGAGGCAGUGAACAUCAUGCUUGACAGCUAGUGCUCAGGAACUGACCAAGGAACUCGGGGCAGCUUCAAUUUGUAUACAACAUCUCUGAAAAGAUCCAGAAGGAUCAAGACAAGGCAAGAGAAGAAAAGAAGAGGAGAUACAAGAGCCUGAGAGUCACAGUUAUUACGCAAUUAAACUUCUAUUUUUGACGAGAGAAAAGAGGAGGAGAGAAAAGAGGAGGAAAAGACAAGAGCCUGAGGCCUAUGUUCAUCACACCAGCGUGGGGAGCAGUCUUCCAACCGCUGUGCUGUGCCUGACAAAUGGAAUUGGGGUCUGGACAUUUAACGAUACUGACACAUAUAGUUGAAAUGGAUUGAUGAACUGAUGGAGAGACCAACUAAAAACAGACGUUUUCCUACAACGUCAUGUCAGACUGACAGGUCGUUUCCCAUUCUUGGCCCCUUUGCUCUUUUAGGCCUCUUUGCUCUUUUAGGCCCCUUUGCUCUUUUAGGCCCCAUCCCCAUUUUAAAUGGACACGCCAGAAUAUACGUACUGAUUAAAAAUCAGAAACCUUGCUCGUAGUGAAUACAGGACUGGUAUCAAAUACCCUGCAAAAGGAUUUCACCUAAAAUUGUGUUGUUUGGAAGAAACUUAAACUUUAAGGUGAUUUUAAAAUGUGUGCCCAUGUGCACCCUUUUUUUUAAGUGGGUGCCCGUGGGCACACGUUUUCGAAAUGUGUGCCCAUGGGCCAUGUAGAGCUAUAUUAAAUUACUAGAGUGCUAACUCCUCAUUCUUGCGCGCAGAGACGCUUUGAAGCCGCUCUGGGCACAGACAUUUUGAACUUAUGUGUGUUUUUGCAGAACACAAUCA